UUCGAGACCCGGCAAGAAAGAGAAAAAAAAAGAGAAGGAGGGAAAUGUGAAGGAACAGCGGUGGGCUACCCCUACAAAAAAUGGAGGUCGAACUACACUAAAAGCACAAAGGACCUCGUCUCUAUGAAGAGGGAGGAAGAGAAAGUAAGAUCUAUGAUCGCGAACAAAAGGCAAAUCGACACGGCGAUGGCUAGGAACCUCCAAGCGGUGUCGACACCGAACC
rnacentral:lncRNA from 1 species